AAUCCAAGAUGUGGAUAUUUGCAGAGUAGCCCUUGUACCUUUCCCAGGCCUCGUAAUAGCAUUCUAAAUCCAAUUGAGCGAAAAUAGUGAUUCUAUCUCUCAGCUU
rnacentral:snoRNA from 1 species